CCAGCACCCCGAGUGGUCGGGACGAUUAUUGGGCCUAAAGCAUCCGUAGCCGGUUCUACAAGUCUUCCGUUAAAUCCACCUGCUCAACAGAUGGGCUGCGGAGGAUACUAUAGAGCUAGGAGGCGGGAGAGGCAAGCGGUACUCAGUGGGUAGGGGUAAAAUCCGUUGAUCCAUUGAAGACCACCAGUGGCGAAGGCGGCUUGCCAGAACGCACUCGACGGUGAGGGAUGAAAGCUGGGGGAGCAAACCGGAUU
rnacentral:rRNA from 1 species